rnacentral:misc_RNA from 1 species
AAGUCGUAACAAGGCAUCCGUAGGUGAACCUUCGGAUGGAUCAUUAUCGGGAAAUACUUUCGAUUUCGGUUUUCGAAAACGGAAGUAACUCUGGUGAAGCCCCUCGGUUUUCCGUCUGCCAGUGGAACCGAGGAACUCUUUUUGAACGGUAUGACGCCUAAACCAUAGUGUACCUAAUUCCCCGGCCACGUGAUGGCUAGGUGGGGGUUUUCUUUUUUCCAAAGAGAAAGCUAGGUUUAAAGAGACGCUCCCCGCUUUUUGGGAUGCGCCGCACUCUAGGUGUCGUGUUCCUGACCAUUCUUUGAACGCGAUUCGAGAAAAAAGCUCUUGAGCUGAAAUCGAAACUAAAACAACUCUAAGCAGUGGAUCACUCGGCUCACGG